rnacentral:rRNA from 1 species
UACGUAGGUGGCAAGCGUUGUCCGGAAUUAUUGGGCGUAAAGCGCGCGCAGGCGGUCCUUUAAGUCUGAUGUGAAAGCCCACGGUUCAACCGUGGAGGGUCAUUGGAAACUGGGGGACUUGAGUACAGAAGAGGAAAGUGGAAUUCCACGUGUAGCGGUGAAAUGCGUAGAGAUGUGGAGGAACACCAGUGGCGAAGGCGACUUUCUGGUCUGUAACUGACGCUAAAGCGCGACAGCAUGGGGAGCAAACGGG